AGACACUGCACCGUUCUGCCUUACUGGCCAUGGGCCCCAGGCUCCUCUGCUGGGCGGCCCUCAGCCUCCUGGGGGCAGGCGCAGUGGGGUCUGGAGUUACCCAGACCCCGAAACACUUGAUUAAAGCACGAGGAGAGCAUGUGAUGAUGAGCUGUUUCCCCCUCUCUGAGCAUCUCUCUGUGUCCUGGUACCAGAAGGCCCAGGGCCAGGGCCCAAAGUUCCUUGUUGAGUAUUACAACGGGGAAGAGAGAGACAAAGGCGACAUCCCGGACCGGUUUUCAGGCAAACAGUUCUCUGACUACCGCUCGGAGCUGAACCUGAGUGCCGUGGAGCUGGGAGACUCAGCCGUGUUCCUCUGUGCCAGCAGCUUGGCACAGCCCUGCAGAGCCACUGCCGCCCUAUACACAAACCCCUCUGCCCGGCUGAGGAAGUGA